UUACACUGUAGUCGGUGCCUGGCGUUUGGUGGACUCAUCUUUUUGUUUACGUUACGAAGUCUUUAUAACUUUGCUAAAAAUUGUAUAUCUGUUAACCAUUUGUGAUUUUAAUUUAAACAAACUUUCAAGUGUACGAUUUUUUGAGUGAAGAUGAAUUUCAACUUAACUCAGAAAGAAGACUCUCACCCUCUUUACCAAUCUCAAAUUAAUGGUUACGGUACCGCUCUUCUCUCACCAGACCAAUCUCCCUAUGUCAUGCCUUCCUCUGCAAAUAACUCUUCUCUUCAGAAUGCGAAAUGGAAUUUUUUCCCAAGCAUACUUUCUCUCAAUGUACCUGCCUCCUUUAUUAACACUCAACCAUGGACACCUGAUAGUCUUAGUUUAGGGACUCCUAGCUUUUACUCUGAUGCAAAUGUGAUUUUCGAAUCAACCAAGCGGCUAUCAUCAACUUUUUCUGAAAGCUCAAAUGAAGUUUAUAGGAAAAAUAAUCCUACAAAUCCAUUAAAAAAUCGAACUCAAAUUAAUAGAUUGGGAGGAACAGCCCAGUCUAACUUGGUUGUCCUUUUUAUAUUUAUAAACUAUUAUUGCCAUCCCGCUCGCCAAUACAAAACUCUUGCUAUAUUAGUAAAAAUGAACUUCUUUCACUCAAAGAUAUUAGGUUCUGCUUUCUAUGUGAAACUACUGACACACCUCAAUGGCGUCGAGGGCCAGAUGGGCGGGUCACCUUAUGCAAUGCGUGCGGAAUACGCUAUGGAAAAUGUAAAAAGGAAGCUGAAUGUUUUGCAGAGAAAAGCCUGAAAGCGGGGAAGAGGCAUAAUUUCGCAUGUGACAAAGAUAGACCUUCUCAAAGCUAAAAGGAUAAUUUAAUAAAAUUUUGUAUAUUUA